rnacentral:rRNA from 1 species
CCUACGGGAGGCAGCAGUGGGGAAUAUUGCACAAUGGGGGGAACCCUUAUGCAGCGACGCCGCGUGAGUGAAGAAGUAUUUCUGUAUGUAAAGCUCUAUCAGCAGGGAAAAAAAUGACGGUACCUGACUAAGAAGCCCCGGCUAACUACGUUCCAGCAGCCGCGGUAAUACGUCGGGGGCAAGCGUUAUACGGAUUUACUGGGUGUAAAGGGAGCGUAGACGGUUAUGCAAGUCUGAAGUGAAAGCCCAAGGCUCAACCAUGGGACUGCUUUGGAAACUGGAAAACUGGAGUGCAUGAGAGGUAAGCGGAAUGCGUGGUGUAGCGGUGAAAUGCGUAGAUAUUAGGAGGAACACCAGGGGCGAAGGCGGCUUACUGGACUGUAACUGACGUUGAGGCUCGAAGGCGUGGGGAGCAAACAGGAUUAGAUACCCUAGUAGUC